rnacentral:tRNA from 1 species
GACGAGGUGGCCGAGUGGUUAAGGCGUUGGACUGCUAACCCAAUGGGCUCUGCCCGCGUGGGUUCGAAUCCCAUCCUCGUCG